UUGAUUAAACAUAUUAGCAAAUUGCCUCUUAGAAGUCUACUCCCACACGCAAAAGUCUGGUCCUUGGUCUAUGUAUAUUUCUUCUGACAAAACUCAAAAAGAUUUAACUUCAAAAAAAUUACAAUAAAAGAAACUAAAUAAUUAUUUUAUCUAAAUCUAAAUUAAUUAAGUAAUCUAUUAUUUCAUGAAAUUCUGACAAAACCUCCCCAAAAAUUUGAAUAUCUACCAAAUUUUAAACCUGC
rnacentral:lncRNA from 1 species